rnacentral:rRNA from 1 species
GGUAACACGUAUCCAACCUGCCGUCUACUCUUGGACAGCCUUCUGAAAGGAAGAUUAAUACAAGAUGGCAUCAUGAGUCCGCAUGUUCACAUGAUUAAAGGUAUUCCGGUAGACGAUGGGGAUGCGUUCCAUUAGAUAGUAGGCGGGGUAACGGCCCACCUAGUCUUCGAUGGAUAGGGGUUCUGAGAGGAAGGUCCCCCACAUUGGACUGAGACACGGCCAA